rnacentral:rRNA from 1 species
UCUCCUGGAAAACGGGUGGUAAUGCCGGAUGCUCCAGUUGAUCGCAUGGUCUUCUGGGAAAGCUUUCGCGGUAUGGGAUGGGGUCGCGUCCUAUCAGCUUGACGGCGGGGUAACGGCCCACCGUGGCUUCGACGGGUAGCCGGCCUGAGAGGGCGACCGGCCACAUUGGGACUGAGAUACGGCCCAGACUCCUACGGGAGGCAGCAGUGGGGAAUAUUGCACAAUGGGCGCAAGCCUGAUGCAGCGACGCCGCGUGAGGGAUGGAGGCCUUCGGGUUGUAAACCUCUUUUAUCGGGGAGCAAGCGAGAGUGAGUUUACCCGUUGAAUAAGCACCGGCUAACUACGUGCCAGCAGCCGCGGUAAUACGUAGGGUGCAAGCGUUAUCCGGAAUUAUUGGGCGUAAAGGGCUCGUAGGCGGUUCGUCGCGUCCGGUGUGAAAGUCCAUCGCUUAACGGUGGAUCCGCGCCGGGUACGGGCGGGCUUGAGUGCGGUAGGGGAGACUGGAAUUCCCGGUGUAACGGUGGAAUGUGUA